rnacentral:lncRNA from 1 species
GGUGAUGUGUUUGUACAUCUUACUUUACUGAACAUUCUUGCUGCUUACAAUUAUUUCUAUCUAUAAUGAACUUGGCCCAGUAAUUUCAGUGGAAAAUGUUAGUAAAAAUUAACAAAUUUUAUGAAAAUUGUUAAAAAUUGACUAUAAAGGACAAUAACUCCUUAGGGGGUCAAUUGACCAUUUUGGUCAUGGUGACUUAUUUUCAGGUCUUACUUUGCUGUACAUUAUUGCUGUUUACAGUUUAUCUCUAUCUAUAAUAAUAUUCAAGAUAA